CUGCGACGUGGGUGCGGACAACCUUCCUCCCUGGGGCAUGGUGCCCCGAGGCUCCUGUUCUCAUUCCUGGUGAUAUAUAAAGCUCUGGUGUCAUACGUUCCUGCUCCUUUGUCCCAGUUCUCCCAUCAAGGCAAGCUGAAACCAAGCUUCUGCUGUUGAUUUCUGGAACACAGACACUACAGCCCUGGAAGACAAAUGCUGAAGGACGGCCUGGGCCUGGCAUCGCUGCAGCGUACGGUGGAUCGCCCAGGUGGUUCCACGGUCGAAGAGCCAAGCCUGGAUAGCGCCAAACCACCAGGACUUUAACUUUCUCCUGCCGGCACCAAGGACAGAAGUCAAAUCUGUGGACUGAGUCUUGAAAAAAGAACUCACUCACCAAUAAAUGCAUUUUAGUUCAGACGGGUACUCUUCGUACACAAGGCACCCCUGCCUGGCAGAAGACUGCCAAACACCUGCUCAAGUUCCUUGGAUUUUCUUCUUGCAAAAACUAUUUGCUGCUUGGGAGGUGAGGAGAUAACUCUGCGACAAAUGAGUGCCUCUGCGGUUCCUCUUGGCCACAGCCUGUGGGAGUUUAGGAAGCUGUGUAACCGCAGGGAUGUUUCGUUCCCAGCUCAAGCAGCCGGUGCUGUUAUAGGACUCAUUUUCUGGAAGCCAGAGUCAGCCAAAAAUGUUUUAAAAUCUUUCCCCAUGGCAAGGACAAAGAGAAGAGAGGCUUUUAGCGCAGCCCUCUGAAUCUCACAGUUACUGAAAUGGGAGAACCUCAGAAUUUAAAAUGAAACAUGGACUUAACGUUACGUGUCUGGUAUGA